UUCCACACUUUAGUUGACCUGUGCAUUGCAGAUGGACCAGGAGGCCAGCUUGCCUUCCCUGGACAGACAACAGUACUAAGUUGGAAAACUUCAAGUAAGCACCCUGUUACAUUUUCAAGGCACGGAUUGAUUGAAAGCAUGAGCACACAAAUGGAGGGCUCCUACGUUCUUCUCUUGACUGUUGUAGUACCAAGUCCCUGCUGGAUAAGCAAGAGAUGACAGCAAUAACGCAUGGAUUCUCCAGAUAGAUAAACAUUCUGGGUCUGAAUCUUGCCCCCAGUACUCAUCAGCUGUGUGCCUCCAAGCAAGUUAUUAAGCUUCUCUGAACCUUACUUGCUCACCUGUAAAAUGGGCUGAUGGCAGCCACACUUACCUCACCCUGCUGUUAAGAGGAGUAAUGAACUAUGACCUAUGAACUGUUGUGAACCCUCCCUCCUGCACUUCCUUAGCAUCAGUCAAAGAAAUACUUCAUUCUUAUA
rnacentral:lncRNA from 1 species